UGAACUCCACGUCGUGAAGGUUAUUGAAGGUUAUAAAUAACACAUUGAUGGGCGAUAGUGAUAAAGAGAUCGACGACUUAAUAUCAAGUUGGAAUAGAGUAUUAAAAGGGAUUAGCCAAUUGGAAACAGCAAUCGAAAGAAACCCGAAAACAGAAAACAAAACUAGUGAAAUGGAGUUAUCAGCAAAUCAACUAAAAGCAAUAGUAGAAAAUGCCGUCGGUGGUGCGCUUGCAAGUCAAAAAGAAUUAUUUGACAAAGAAUUACAAGCGAUCAAUGAACGCAUAGGGAAACUUACAGUAAACACACCAGAAGUUGAAACUUACACAGAUGCUGAACUUAUACCGGGUCAAAACAACAAUAGACAUUAAAAUCAAAAAGCACAGCUUACAGAACAAUAACUCAGAAUAAAAAACAAAAACCCACCAGUGUUAUUAAUGGCCUUCUUCAUCCUAUUCCUACAUCAUGAUAAAAAACAAAUUUAAUCAACGAGCGUUGUACAUUAUUAUUAUUAUCACUAUUAUUAACCAUCAAUGUACUUGCAAUUUAUAUUUUUUGUAUUCUAUAAAAAUUUAAACAAAAUGUUAAAGAAAGCUCUUAAAUCGUAUCGGCCUAAACAACAUACUUGAUUGCGGCAACCGGAGAGAACAAAUCGACACUUCAAUCACCAAAAUACAUUGAGUUCUCCCCCACCAACUACUCUACCCAACAUGCGCAUUGUGACGACACUACAAGACCACCAGGGCCAACGUCAAACAAAGCACCGAUCGUUAGGAUUCCCGUUCAUCAUCAACCAUAUAAUUUGAAAACACUGAGGACAGCAUUCAUCUUAGUAAGGGAGGAGUUAACUGGAGUUACUUUUUGCUUAUGCCCGGCUUAAUGAAAACACUUUGGAGUUUUCGAGAGGAAAGCUAAGCUUUGCUGAAGAACGUAGCCAGCGACAAAGCCAACGACGUUGCCGGGGACAGAGACGAGGGCAGUCGAGAUUUGGAGAUAACAAGCGUCGGUCAUCGCCACGCACUAAUAUACGAAUUCGGCUCAUUACGUGCAGACCGCACUAAUCUUAUCAUAAUUUGUACAACUACUCGAAUAAACAUAUUGAAAUACAUCGAAUCAUAA